GACGGAGGGUGCUAGCGUUGUUCGGAAUCACUGGGCGUAAAGGGCGCGUAGGCGGCCUUCUAAGUCAGACGUGAAAUCCCCCGGCUUAACCUGGGAACUGCGUCUGAUACUGGGAGGCUUGAGUAUGGGAGAGGGAUGUAGAAUUCCAGGUGUAGCGGUGAAAUGCGCAGAUAUCAGGAGGAACACCGGUGGCGAAGGCGGGACUCUGGGCCGAUACUGACGCUGAGGAGCGAAAGCGUGGGGAGCAAACAGG
rnacentral:rRNA from 1 species